rnacentral:ncRNA from 1 species
GAGCCUAUCCUAGCUGCCAUAACACAAAGAGACAGACAACCAUUCACACUCAGAUUCACACCUGUGGGCAAUUUAGAAUCACCGUUUAAUGUAACCCCACUAGCUGCAUGUCUUUGGAUUGUGGGAGGAAGCAGGAGUAUCCGGAGAAAACCCACACAGUGUUGGGACAGUGGCAGGGGGAGUUUGACUGGGGCGGUACACCUGUCAAACAGCGGUCCUGAGAUCAGAGAGGACAGAAACUUCCCGUGGAGCAGACGGGCAAAUGAAAAGCAGGGCCUCAUGAUCCGUCUGAGUUUUGGGGUUUUAAGUAGGAGGCGUCAGAAAUGGUACC